GUCUAUGGCCAUGCCACCCUGAACAAGCCCGACCCUGUCUGAUCUCAGAAGCUAAGCAGGGUCGGAUCUGGUUAGUACUUGGAUGGGAGACCACUUAGGAAGACCAGGUGCGGUAAGCA
rnacentral:rRNA from 1 species